rnacentral:rRNA from 1 species
AGUGGCGGACGGGUGAGUAACGCGUGGGUAACCUGCCUUGUACAGGGGGAUAACAGUUGGAAACGGCUGCUAAUACCGCAUAAGCGCACAGCAUCGCAUGAUGCAGUGUGAAAAACUCCGGUGGUAUAAGAUGGACCCGCGUCUGAUUAGCUGGUUGGUGAGGUAACGGCUCACCAAGGCGACGAUCAGUAGCCGGCUUGAGAGAGUGAACGGCCACAUUGGGACUGAGACACGGCCCAAACUCCUACGGGAGGCAGCAGUGGGGAAUAUUGCACAAUGGGGGAAACCCUGAUGCAGCGACGCCGCGUGAGUGAAGAAGUAUCUCGGUAUGUAAACUUCUAUCAGCAGGGAAGAUAGUGACGGUACCUGACUAAGAAGCCCCGGCUAACUACGUGCCAGCAGCCGCGGUAAUACGUAGGGGGCAAGCGUUAUCCGGAUUUACUGGGUGUAAAGGGAGCGUAGACGGUGUGGCAAGUCUGAUGUGAAAGGCAUGGGCUCAACCUGUGGACUGCAUUGGAAACUGUCAUACUUGAGUGCCGGAGGGGUAAGCGGAAUUCCUAGUGUAGCGGUGAAAUGCGUAGAUAUUAGGAGGAACACCAGUGGCGAAGGC